rnacentral:rRNA from 1 species
UACGGGGGGGGCAAGCGUUGUUCGGAAUUACUGGGCGUAAAGGGCUCGUAGGUGGCCAACUAAGUCAGACGUGAAAUCCCUCGGCUUAACCGGGGAACUGCGUCUGAUACUGGAUGGCUUGAGUUCGGGAGAGGGAGUGCGGAAUUCCAGGUGUAGCGGUGAAAUGCGUAGAUAUCUGGAGGAACACCGGUGGCGAAGGCGGCAUCCUGGGCCCAG